CGAGAUCCCGCGGUCCGAGCUGCCCGUGCUCCCGCGCCGCUUACCUGCCUGCGAGUUGCCCACCUCGGAGCCCCGGGCCAGGCUGAGAAGCAAGCCCAGCACCUGCAGAGCCCGGUUCGCCCUCAUGACGCCAGCGGAGGGAGCUGGACUAGGGGGAGGUCAGGAUUCCAAACGCCCCAAAUGCCUCCAAAGGAGUAAGCCCGGGAGGGGCUCCCGCACCUGUCGCCGUCCCCUCUGCUGCCCCCCACGGCCGCCUGGGAGAACAGCUGCCUCCCCUUCCACGCUGGAGCCUGACCGCGCCGUCGGGGCGGCUGGAGUUCCCGCCGCUCUUCUGCGGACCCGGAUGGGCACACCAUCCCCACCGCAGGGGCUGACACCUUCCCAGGCGCCUUCCGAGCGCCGACUCGCGCUGGAAAGGAGGAGGAGGGGGCACUAGAGAUUGUGUCCACGAAUGACAUCGACCCCUGGCACCUCAGCACCAGCUCCUGGAUGCUGGCGGGAGGCGGUCGGCGCACCGCGAGCUGCUGCCCUAAACCCUGCGGGCCUCCGAACGGGUCCGACGGGCGCCCCCUGGUGCCCAGCGGGCAGCAGUGAGGCCCCCCGCGGCGUUGCAUUUCUAAUCUCUUAAAUUGGCAUUCUGGAUCUCGCCCAGAGAGCGUAAUUAUUUUCCCCAAGAGUGUAAAGCCUGAAAACUUCAAUAACAACUAGUUACGCCUGGACGAAGAAAAAUGUCGCCUCUCACUCUGAACCAAGACUACGGGCUAAAAUCCUUGAAACUUGCUCCGCAUUGAUAUGCACCCUAGGGGGCCCGUUCUCUGCUGGAGGCUACCUUCGCCCUUGGGGCGUUGGCCUUGCCUUGACGACUUGCAUAAUAGUUAUAAUAGUAAUAGCAACCGGGAAACAUUAGCAUAUACGUACAUAAACCACUUUAUUUGCAAACGUUUCCUCAAACUUAGAGAAUGUUUCCUUUACAAAACCUAUGUGAGCUAGGCGACAUCGCUCUUCAUUUUACAGAACUGGAAGUGGGUAGCUUCUCCAAGGUCAUCCUCUUGAUGACGGUGGAUGAGGUGAUCAGGUGAUCUACGGAAGGGGCGCAGGGUUUGUUGGUUUUUUUUUUUUUUUUUUUGAGGAAGAUUAGCCCUGAGCUAACUGCCGCCAAUCCUCCUGUUUUUGCUGAGGAAGGCUGG